CAAGAAAGAAUAAAUGGCUCCUAAUACCACAAAAUCUUUAUUAUUUACUAUUAAUUUCGCCAUUUCUGGCAACGUGAAAGAUAAAUUGUCUUCUAAAAUACUAUAUUUUUCUUCAGGAUGUAGAGCUAAUUAGGUGACAUAAACAACACCUUUAUACAUUAUAAAUAACAUCUAUAUAUCUCCAUCACUUAUAAGAGGAAGAAAAUAAAUAAGACAUGAAAAACAACAUUAUCAACAACAAUAAAAAUACCAUAUACAAAAUAUACAUAAGAAAUUUAAUUGAGCAAAAGUCAAUAACAAACAAAUUAAUUAGGUUCACAGACGAAUAACCAGGAUUGUUAAACAAGCAAUAAUCCACAUUUUUGUUUUGUUGGUAGAGUCCUAUAUAUAGGAAAAAAUAUGAUUAAACUAUUUAGUCUUCCAAGGUGGAAAUUUUUCUUUGACUCUAAAACAAUAAAAUAAAACUAAUUAAUAGAAUAAUAAUAU